CGAAAUGAGAGAGAAGGGUGAUCACAGGAAGGAAAAGGGCGGAAAAACUCAACAGGCUCUGGAAGCUUUCCGCCAGAGAGGAUCUUGGAGAUUAGAAGAAAGACAAAAAGAAAGUGUUGGUGAUUGACUUCAUCUGAAGCAGAGGAAUUCAAACGGGCUUCCAGAUUUUAGGUGGAUGUUAAUGCUGUUAACUGAUUUGACAUGUUGAAUUUGAGAUGUUAGACAUCGAAGUGAAUGGUACUCAUCAUCUCUGCACAAGCCUUUGCAUCUUGAAAAUCCACCAGUUUUAUAGCACUCUGAAAAAAUUCCUUGUUGCCAUGGAGAUACUGUUCUUUCACAGUGAAUCCUUCUUGAAGGAGGAAUCUGAGGCCCAGAGAGAUUAAGAAGCUUCACAAGUGACAUGACUUGUGCCAAAUCACAAGGUCAUUUAGUUGCAGAACUGGGACAGGAAUUCAUGCCCAGUUCUCUUUUCAAAACCCUGUGAAAAAAAGAAGUACAUUCAAUUUAGCCUUUGAUUCGUCAUUGGCAUUAUCAGAGGUAAAG
rnacentral:lncRNA from 1 species